AUUGAACGCUGGCGGAAUGCUUUACACAUGCAAGUCGAACGGCAGCACGGAUUUCGGUCUGGUGGCGAGUGGCGAACGGGUGAGUAAUGUAUCGGAACGUGCCCAGUCGGGGGGGAUAACGUAGUGAAAAUUACGCUAAUACCGCAUACGAUCUAUGGAUGAAAGCGGGGGAUCGCAAGACCUCGCGCGAUUGGAGCGGCCGAUAUCAGAUUAGGUAGUUGGUGGGGUAAAGGCCCACCAAGCCAACGAUCUGUAGCUGGUCUGAGGGGACGACCAGCCACACUGGAACUGAGACACGGUCCAGACUCCUACGGGAGGCAGCAGUGGGGAAUUUUGGACAAUGGGCGAAAGCCUGAUCCAGCCAUUCCGCGUGCAGGAUGAAGGCCCUCGGGUUGUAAACUGCUUUUGUACAGAACGAAAAGGUUUCUACUAAUACUAGGAGCUCAUGACGGUACUGUAAGAAUAAGCACCGGCUAACUACGUGCCAGCCGCCGCGGUAA
rnacentral:rRNA from 1 species